rnacentral:tRNA from 1 species
GUUCUUGUAGUAAAAGUAUGACGGUGGCUUUUCGAGCCAUUAUUCUUGGUUAGAGUCCGGGCAAGAAUU